UUAAGCUACUAAGAGCACAGGGUGAAUGCCUUGGCACCAAGAGCCGAUGAAGGACGUGAUAAGCUGCGAAAAGCUGUGAGGAGGAGCAAAUAUCCAUUAUAUUCACAGAUAUCCGAAUGAGGAAACUCUAGUUAGGAAAAAAGCUAACUAAUCCAUACAUGAGUAAAGUAGUGUAUGUGAGGGGAACGUAGGGAACUGAAACAUCUAAGUACCUACAGGAAAAGAAAGAAAACUCGAUUCCUUGAGUAGUGGCGAGCGAAAGAGGAAGAGCCUAAACCAAGAAAAGUAAUUUUCUUGGGGUUAUGGACUACAUAAAUGAUUCAAUAGAUUUAGCAGAACUGUUUGGAAAAGCAGACCAAAGAUAGUGAAAGUCUAGUAAGCGAAAAAUCGAAAGACAUGGUAGUAUCCGGAGUAGUGCGAGACACGGGAAAUCUCGUAUGAAAAAGUGGGGACCACCCCAUAAGGCUAAAUACUACUUGGUGACCGAUAGUGGAACAGUACCGUGAGGGAAAGGUGAAAAGAACCCCGGGAGGGGAGUGAAAGAGAACCUGAAACCCUGUGUUUACAAGCAGACAAAGCACGUUAAGGUGCGAUGUCGUACUUUUUGUAGAACGGUCCGGCGAGUUAUUUUAUAUGGCAAGGUUAAGUACUAUUAAGGUACGAAGCCGAAGCGAGAGCGAGUCUGAAAAGGGCGAGUAAGUCAUAUGAAAUAGACCCGAAACCGAGUGACCUAUCCAUGGUCAGGAUGAAGCUUGAGUAAAAUCAAGUGGAGGUCCGAACCCAUAAGCGUUAAAAAGCUUCGGGAUGAACUGUGGAUAGCGGAGAAAUUCCAAUCGAACUCGGAGAUAGCUGGUUCUCCUCGAAAUAGUUUUAGGACUAGCCUUGUUUAGUAGUAUGUGGGGGUAGAGCACUGAAUGAGCUAGGGGCCAAACCAGGUUACUGAACUCUAUCAAACUCCGAAUACCAUGUACGUAAGAACAGGAGUCAGACUGCGGGAGCUAAGUUCCGUGGUCAAAAGGGAAAGAGCCCAGAUCGUCAAUUAAGGUCCCAAAGAUAUAGUUAAGUGGAAAACGAUGUGAUUUUGCGUAAACAACCAGGAUGUUGGCUUAGAAGCAGCCAUUCAUUUAAAGAGUGCGUAAUAGCUCACUGGUCGAGUGGAGUUGCGCGGAAAAUUACCGGGGCUAAACUAUACACCGAAAUUGCGGAUUCAUGAGUAAUCAUGAGUGGUAGAGGAGCAUUCUAUAGUAGGACGAAGGUAGAUCGAAAGGACUGCUGGACGAGAUAGAAGAGAGAAUGCCGGAAUAAGUAGCGAAAGCAUGGUGAGAAUCCAUGCCAUCGAAAGUCUAAGGUUUCCUGGGGAAGGUUCGUCCGCCCAGGGUAAGUCGGGACCUAAGGAGAGGCCGAAAGGCGUAUCUGAUGGACAGCAGGUAGAAAUUCCUGCACCACCGAUAUACUUAAAAAAUGCAAGGGACACAGUAGUGGAAGGAAAGCGAGGAAGAGGAAAGACUCGUAUCGAAAGAUAUAGUGAAAAAAUAAGUAACGAAUUUCCAAGAAGCACACUGGCGAGAAAAGCUUGUAGGAAUUGUAUAAAGGUGCCCGUACCGCAAACCGACACAGGUAGAUGAGGAGAGGAUCCUAAGAUGAGCGAGAGAAGCAUUGUUAAGGAACUCGGCAAAUUGACCCCGUAACUUAGGGAGAAGGGGUGCCAAAGUAAAAUUUGGUCGCAGAGAAGAGGCCCAAGCAACUGUUUAACAAAAACACAGGUUUCUGCUAAAUCGAAAGAUGAAGUAUAGGAGCUGACGCCUGCCCAGUGCUGGAAGGUUAAGGGGAAGAGUUAGAUGUAAGUCGAAGCUUAGAACCAAAGCCCCAGUGAACGGCGGCCGUAACUAUAACGGUCCUAAGGUAGCGAAAUUCCUUGUCAGGUAAG
rnacentral:rRNA from 1 species